CCUUUAAAAUAUAGCUAACUACUAUAUUAGCUAGUAUAUAAAUUUGCGGAGUCUAGUCCAAUUAGUUACAGAUAUCAGAAUUGAACAAAGUACCAAAUAUGGACUACAUUAGUGCCCUAAACUAGAUUACAUAAAAAUGAAAAGGGAUGUCCUAAGCUGCUGCUGCUCCAUCUUCAAAUGAGUCAAGAUUCUCAUGAAUUUAUCACGUUGAAAGGUCAGAUUCAAAGACAUAUUCAAAUGUAGGGACCUACAAUAUUACCAAGUUAAUCUUAGUAUAAAAAUGAGUAAGGGAAAAACAAUGUUGUUCAUAAGUCUAACCAUGUUGAAGGUCAGCCUUUUAGACAAACAGUGAUUUCCUAAACCAUGAUUUGUUUCAUGGCUCUCAUUUUAGUAAAAGAGGAAAUAGGGGAAGGGGAAAUAACAUAGGCAUAUACUAAAUAAAUCAAUACUAUUAUGCACUAUUAAGGGAUGAAUUUGACCAUUUAAAGGCUCAGAUUCACUUGCCUUUUGCGCUGCUAUAAGAGAGGAGUUUUGAACACAUCUUUCAUAAGUGUAUAUAUACUGAUUCAGUAGUCAAAUAUAUUGCGUUUUUACACAUAUACAUCACAAACUUUAUGAUCAAAUGCAACAAAUAUUCAGACUAACCCAUGGUUCAAUUGACUUCAACUUCAAACAGCUAUGAUUCCUAGGCUAACACCAAAAAUCAGCUAAACAAACAAGUUCAAAAAUACAAAUUCUAAACUGAAAAUUGAUUUAAUUCAAGAUGAACAUUGUACAUACCUUGAAACUAAAAGUAGGGCAGAACAGUGACCAAAUAAAGGUCAAGAAAACGAAAAGAUGAUAGAAAACUCAAACUUCAGCAAGAAACCAGCCAAACCUGCAGUAAAUCCAGACCAAAUAAAGAUAAUUUGAAACCAAGAAACCAACCAAAUGAAAACAGGGAGAUCCUAUACUUCAAACCAUAUUUUAAACUUGAAAAGAAUCAGAAAAAAUGAGAAGUUUGGAAGUUUUCUCAAGACUUCUGGAAUCUGAGCUUUUUUAGAAAAGAAGAUAGGGCUUUUUUGUAGUAAAAUGAUGAUAAAAAAUCCUCUAUUCUCAAUGGAAAAAGGCACUAUAUAUAGGGAUAUAUAAUGCCUUAUGCUGAAGGAAUUAUUC
rnacentral:lncRNA from 1 species